GAGAAGAGGAAAACAGGACUUCACAGUAAUGACUGUGUUCCAACAGAGCUGGCCAGAAUUUUGCUUGUUCCCUGUGUUUGGCAAGGAGCUAAUCUGGGGUCUCUCAAGCUGCCUGCCAUUCAGAUGAUACCUAUAUCUAUACUGCCAUCCCUGAUAGCUCCCCUGAGCUCCAGUCCUGCUGGCAGAGACAUUGCUAGCAAUUUUUGCCUUGGGAAAGUGUUAUGAAAUAACGUAACAUCAAAUCAGCUUUCUAAGAUAAAUUUGGUUGUCAGGGAACAGACCUAGGAUACUAAGAAGUUACUGCUGAAUAGACCACUGCCUGCAGGGGAUGUGUUACCUGAGAUGCAAUAAGAGCUAGAAAGCUGGAGAAAGAGGCCACAUGGAUCCCUGUCAAUACAGAUCGAAUGGGUCCAGCUGGGGGCCGGAGCCUGGAAGCUGGGGAGGGUCCUGAGCUUUUGGAGGGCCAUGGAGCACCUUUGAGGAGUUCACUCACAUUCUUGGAUGGGGCCCUGGGCCUUGGUAUACUCGGACUUGGUGCUCGUCUGGUCCUGGCCCUGGCUGGUCCAGCCAUGAUGCUUUUGCUGCUGUUUCUGAUGUUGAGUUUCCUGACCUUUGAUCUUUUGCAUGGACCCCAGGACUUGCCUCUGCCUCAAAGACCAACUUUUAGACCCCUUGGCCCAGGAGGGGGUGGUGAAGGCCCCCGCUUGCAAGAACCGCUGCUCCCUCCUGUCCUGAGCCAAAUCUUGGAUGGAUUCCUGCUCUUCACAGGCCUAGGCCUCAUCUUUGGGGCGCUGAUGCCCUUCAGUAUCUUUAGCCUUAUAGUCAGCCUACAGGCGCUGGCCUGAAACAAAGCCCUCUGUUCUGUGGAAACCAGAAGGCUUUAAGAGCCUCCUCACCGAAAUACACGAGGAUUGACUAAAUUCUGCCUCUGAAUUUCCUUUCCUGUUCCCCUCCGGGCCGUUCUGGGGUGAAAGGCCCCAAAUUAGUUCC
rnacentral:lncRNA from 1 species